rnacentral:rRNA from 1 species
GCGUAAUAGCUCACUGGUCGAGUCGGCCUGCGCGGAAGAUGUAACGGGGCUAAACCAUGCACCGAAGCUGCGGCAGCGACACUAUGUGUUGUUGGGUAGGGGAGCGUUCUGUAAGCCUGUGAAGGUGGCCUGUGAGGGUUGCUGGAGGUAUCAGAAGUGCGAAUGCUGACAUAAGUAACGAUAAAGCGGGUGAAAAGCCCGCUCGCCGGAAGAC